GAUGAACGCUGGCGGCGUGCCUAAUACAUGCAAGUCGAGCGAACAGACGAGGAGCUUGCUCCUCUGACGUUAGCGGCGGACCGGUGAGUAACACGUGGAUAACCUACCUAUAAGACUGGGAUAACUUCGGGAAACCGGAGCUAAUACCGGAUAAUAUAUUGAACCGCAUGGUUCAAUAGUGAAAGACGGUUUUGCUGUCACUUAUAGAUGGAUCCGCGCCGCAUUAGCUAGUUGGUAAGGUAACGGCUUACCAAGGCAACGAUGCGUAGCCGACCUGAGAGGGUGAUCGGCCACACUGGAACUGAGACACGGUCCAGACUCCUACGGGAGGCAGCAGUAGGGAAUCUUCCGCAAUGGGCGAAAGCUUGACGGAGCAACGCCGCGUGAGUGAUGAAGGUCUUCGGAUCGUAAAACUCUGUUAUUAGGGAAGAACAAAUGUGUAAGUAACUAUGCACGUCUUGACGGUACCUAAUCAGAAAGCCACGGCUAACUACGUG
rnacentral:rRNA from 1 species